AGAGUUUGAUCAUGGCUCAGAUUGAACGCUGGCGGCAGGCCUAACACAUGCAAGUCGAGCGGAUGAGUGGAGCUUGCUCCAUGAUUCAGCGGCGGACGGGUGAGUAAUGCCUAGGAAUCUGCCUGGUAGUGGGGGACAACGUUUCGAAAGGAACGCUAAUACCGCAUACGUCCUACGGGAGAAAGUGGGGGAUCUUCGGACCUCACGCUAUCAGAUGAGCCUAGGUCGGAUUAGCUAGUUGGUGAGGUAAAGGCUCACCAAGGCGACGAUCCGUAACUGGUCUGAGAGGAUGAUCAGUCACACUGGAACUGAGACACGGUCCAGACUCCUACGGGAGGCAGCAGUGGGGAAUAUUGGACAAUGGGCGAAAGCCUGAUCCAGCCAUGCCGCGUGUGUGAAGAAGGUCUUCGGAUUGUAAAGCACUUUAAGUUGGGAGGAAGGGCAGUAAGUUAAUACCUUGCUGUUUUGACGUUACCAACAGAAUAAGCACCGGCUAACUUCGUGCCAGCAGCCGCGGUAAUACGAAGGGUGCAAGCGUUAAUCGGAAUUACUGGGCGUAAAGCGCGCGUAGGUGGUUCGUUAAGUUGGAUGUGAAAGCCCCGGGCUCAACCUGGGAACUGCAUCCAAAACUGGCGAGCUACAGUAUGGCAGAGGGUAGUGGAAUUUCCUGUGUAGCGGUGAGAUGCGUAGAUAUAGGAAGGAACACCAGUGGCGAACGCGACCACCUGGCUAAUACUGA
rnacentral:rRNA from 1 species